rnacentral:rRNA from 1 species
UACGUAGGGGGCAAGCGUUUGUCCGGAUUUAUUGGGCGUAAAGAGCGUGUAGGCGGCCUGGUAGGUCAGCUGUGAAAACUCGAGGCUCAACCUCGAGACGCCGGUUGAAACCAUCAGGCUAGAGUCCGGAAGAGGAGAGUGGAAUUCCCGGUGUAGCGGUGAAAUGCGCAGAUAUCGGGAAGAACACCCGUGGCUAAGGCGGCUCUCUAGUACGGUACUGACGCUGAGACGCGAAAGCGUGGGGAGCGAACAGG